GGAGACAGGGUCUUUCUCCGUCACCUAGGCUGGAAUGCAGUGGCACAAUCACAGAUCACUGCAGCCUCAACUUCCCUGACUCCAGUCGAUCCUCCCACCUCAGCCUCCCGAGCAGCUGGAACCACAGGUGCACACCACCAUGCCCAGCUCUCACUGUGUUGCCCAGGCUGGCCUUGAACUCCUGGGCUCAAGUGAUCUGUCACCAUGGCUUCCCAGAGUGUUGGGAUUACAGGCAUGAACCACGGUGCCCAACCAGUCAGCACCGUCUAAAAUCCACAGCCAGCUGUAAAAUCUCUGAGAGCAAGGAGGCAGCCCCUCCCAGGGAACUGGAGUGGAGAACCCAGAAGGGAUACAGGACUAGGUGGGCAGUGCGGCCGCCCCUUGGGCUGCACAGUCCUGCAGGACCAACAUUCCUAGGCCCUCUGGAUUCUGUGGAGUUUCUGUCACUUCCUUGCAGAGUGGGGGCUGGGGAGGCCGUCAUGUGGGAUGUGGGGGCGCAGGCCCAGGCACGGCAGGCAGGCCCACCCCCUUCCCUCCCAGCAGCUUCUGGGUGCCACCUCCCCGGCCUUUCCUCAGGCAGAUGUUGGAGCCCGAGUCAGGGAGACUGUGGGUGGUCUGCUUGUUCUCCAGCUCCAGCAGAGGGGAUGGUGGGGUCUGCAUGUUGUUGUCUGCUGCAGACAGGCCCAGAUGCCAUCUGCACCCCGUGGGGCAGCUCUGCAGGAUCGUGGUGCAGGAGCUGUGGGAGCCCAACCCCCUGGCCCCCCAGUCUGGAAUAAGGUGCACCGCGGGAUGGAGCUCCUCAGCCGCAGAGUGAGCGCUGAUGGCAGAGCAUGCUCGUCCAUUCGCCCGUGUGCUGGCUCCUUCUUCCAGGAGCUGUUCGGCCAUAGCUGCUGACUGCCUCUGCCAGGUCAGCUCCAGGCUUGGGUGGCAGUCCUGACACGGCUGGGGCGCAGGGGCCGGGACGUGGGCGGGAAUGAGAGGGAACCUGCCUGGGAAGGCUGGGGAGGAGCGUCCAGGCCCCGUGGUCAUUUGCGGAGGUAGCGAGUGGCAGGGCCUGCUUGGGUGGAUUCUGAGCCUGGAGGCCUCUAUGCAGGCCAGCACAGACAGCCUCGGGCAGGAGACUCCCAGCCGCACACAGGCUCCUGGUCCUCCAGCUCGGUGCCCGCCCUCCUGGGACCUUGCUAGAAGGCAGAACGUGCUGUCAGUGCCACGUCAGACCCGGCUCCCAAAGCCCCCCCACCUCAGAUCCUGAUGCUGGCCCACGAGGAGCUCCCAUUUCUGGGUCUGGAUUUUCAGAACCCCCCCAACAAACCACUCUGCUGCUAGGUUGGAGCCCUGCGGGCAGCCGAAAGCCAGGAGGAGGCAGCAGGGCCCACGGCACCUCUCAUCAGCGCCCUUGUGCCCUGGAAGCAGGGGCUCUGGCCAGCUGGGGCUGUGUGUGGGAGCAUGUGUGUCUGUGUGUGUAUUUAUGAGUUGUGUGACCCUGUGUUUGAAUGUGUGUAGGAGUGUGUCUGUGUGUGUAUGAGUUGUGUGACCCUGUGUUUGUGUGUGGGAGAAUAUGUGUGUGUGUGUAUGAGCUGUGUGACCCUGUGUUUGAGUGUGGGUGCGCAUGCACGUGUGUGCACGCAUCCGAGUGUGCAUGUGCCUGAGUGUGCGAGUUGCCGCAUGUGCGUGUGCGUGUGAAUAUGCACGUCUGUGUGUUCACGUCUGAGUGUGCACACAACCUCAGGACCUGGCCGUGGCGGUCAUUCGCUGUCGGGCCGACAGAGGGUGCCGUCGGACAGGGCUGUGCCGGCUCUCUGAGCUCCCAGCAAAGCUGUCUCCUGCUUGGGACUCAGCGUGGGGGAGGAGCCGGCCGCUCUGCUGUGAGAGAAGGGAACGGGUUGCGAGGGAGACCUACGAGGUGGAGGAACAGCGUGGGGGAUGGCAGGGGGCAAAGUGACGUCCAGUUUGGGGUGGGAGGAGGGAGAGUGUGAGGCCCAGGAGCGGGACGCGGGGGAGGGGGCCGGGCGUGGGCACCGGAUCUUCUCAGGACUGGUGGGUGUGCCUCAGGGGCCUGAUGGCCUGAUGGACGGAGGGCAAGAACCCUUCCACCAUCCGCUCCGUCCCCAGCCUGGGGCACCACGGCGCGUCCUUCCCCCGGGUGCGCAGCGUGUCCUGCCUCCCCCUUAAAGGACAAGGGGCAGAAUCCUGGCCCAGGGCAGAGCUCCAGGCUCUCCUCGCCGCCCCUCCCCAUGGUCCAGCACGCCCCCAUGCCCUUCCCCUCAAAGACCACAGGGCCCAGCAGGGCAGGGCCGGGCUGCAGUGUGGACAGACGG
rnacentral:lncRNA from 1 species